rnacentral:ncRNA from 1 species
UUCGUCGAGGGGCGCUGCGACCUUGGCCGCCGGUGCGUUGCAUCGCGGUUUUCGGGCCAGGCUCGACGAAACGUUCCGUGUAACGGCGCCCGGUCAAG